rnacentral:lncRNA from 1 species
CGCCCGACGCCGGCCGGCGUGUUCGUUUGCUACCCCGCGCAAGUCGUGUCCAUAAACUUCGUGUGUUGACGUUUGGAAAAUGUUUCAGUGACUUUAUUUUGUUGGACCUCUUGUGAAGGUCAAAAUCCUACCCCUCAAACCGAAUAUGUCCUGAAAAGUAACGGGUAACGAAGCCGUAUGUAUGAAGGCGCAUAAUAUGACCGGAGUGUCCAGGCGUGAUGCAACUUGUAAUGGUGAACUUUCUCAUCAUGUUUGACGUGGUGUUCGUGUUCUUUCUGUUUCUAAUCGCGGUGACUUGUAUAAUGAACUACAUGCCUGGAAGGAGACGGCAGGAGGUGAUAGAGGAAGAAGUGGACAGUGACGUCAUUCCCCCGCCGCCGCUGUUCGCUGGUGAUGACGUCAUGGCAAGCACCAGCCGGGACACGUACGUGGUGAUACCGCCGCCACUGCACAACGUUAGGUCGAAGGAUGGAUGUCCAAUACACGUCGUUUAGGAUACACGUACUGAUAUAUCAACGUAGGAGUUUAUUACAAAGAAGCCUUAUGAAAUUGUAGAUGU